rnacentral:rRNA from 1 species
UUAGAGUUUGAUCCUGGCUCAGGACGAACGCUGGCGGCGCGCCUAAUGCAUGCAAGUCGAGCGAGGCCCUCGGGUGAGCAAUCACCUGAGGUGACCGAGCGGCGAACGGGUGAGUAUCACGUGAGCAACCUGCCCCGAAGACCGGGAUAGCCCGGGGAAACCCGGAUUAAUACCGGAUACCCUCUGCGGACCGCAUGAUCUGCGGAGGAAAGGUUCUGGCGCUUCGGGAUGGGCUCGCGACCUAUCAGCUCGUUGGUGGGGUAACGGCCCACCAAGGCGACGACGGGUAGCUGGUCUGAGAGGACGAGCAGCCACACUGGGACUGAGACACGGCCCAGACUCCUACGGGAGGCAGCAGCAGGGAAUCUUGCACAAUGGGCGAAAGCCUGAUGCAGCGACGCCGCGUGGGGGAUGAAGACCUUCGGGUCGUAAACCCCUUUCAGGAGGGACGAAGCGAAAGUGACGGUACCUCCACAAGAAGCCCCGGCCAACUACGUGCCAGCAGCCGCGGUAAUACGUAGGGGGCGAGCGUUGUCCGGAAUCAUUGGCGUAAAGGGCUCGUAGGCGGCUCAGCAAGUCGGCCGUGAAAACCCAGGGCUCAACCCUGGGAUGCCGGUCGAAACUGCUGUGGCUAGGGUCCGGUAGAGGAGCGUGGAAUUCCCGGUGUAGCGGUGAAAUGCGCAGAUAUCGGGAGGAACACCAGUAGCGAAGGCGGCGCUCUGGGCCGGCACCGACGCUGAGGAGCGAAAGCUAGGGGAGCAAACAGGAUUAGAUACCCUGGUAGUC